rnacentral:rRNA from 1 species
AGCGAACGCUGGCGGCAGGCUUAACACAUGCAAGUCGAGCGCCCCGCAAGGGGAGCGGCAGACGGGAGAGUAACACGUGGGGACAUACCUUUUGGUUCGGAACAACUUAGGGAAACUUCAGCUAAUACCGGAUAAGCCCUUACGGGGAAAGAUUUAUCGCCGAAGGAUUGGCCCGCGUCUGAUUAGCUAGUUGGUGAGGUAACGGCUCACCAAGGCGACGAUCAGUAGCUGGUCUGAGAGGAUGAUCAGCCUCACUGGGACUGAGACACGGCCCAGACUCCUACGGGAGGCAGCAGUGGGGAAUAUUGGACAAUGGGGGCAACCAUGAUCCAGCCAGGCCGCGUGAGUGAUGAAGGCCUUAGGGUUGUAAAGCUCUUUUGCCCGGGAAGAUAAUGACGGUACCGGGAGAAUAAGCCCCGGCUAACUUCGUG